rnacentral:tRNA from 2 species
CGGCGGGCGGCCCGGGCCGCGAGGGCCGGAUGCCCGUCGGGCAUCCCGUCGCCGCCGCCGCUCAGCGACGGUGUCCGCCGA